rnacentral:rRNA from 1 species
GAUGAACGCUGACAGAAUGCUUAACACAUGCAAGUCUACCAAGAAUCACUUCGGUGAGGAAUGGUGGCGGACGGGUGAGUAACGAGUAAAUAACCUGCCCUUAGACUGGGAUAUCCUUUGGAAACGAAGGUUAAUACCGGAUAUUAUGAGAUGGACGCAUGUUCAACUUAUGAAAGCUAAAUGCACUAGAGGAGGAGUUUGCGUCCCAGUAGCUGGGUGGUGAGGUAAAGGCUCACCAAGGCCACGAUGGGUAGACGGCCUGAGAGGGUGAACGGCCACAAGGGAACUGAGACACGGUCCUUACUCCUACGGGAGGCAGCAGUGGGUAAUAUUGGACAAUGGACCAAAAGUCUGAUCCAGCAGUUCUGUGUGCACGAUGAAGGUCUUCGGAUUGUAAAGUGCUUUCAGUAGGGAAGAAAAAAAUGACGGUACCUACAGAAGAAGCGACGGCUAAAUAUGUGCCAGCAGCCGCGGUAACAC